UGUGCUUCUGGGUACCACAGAGGGAAAACUCCCAGAAAGCGGUGCCUGGGGACCACGCCCUCUGCUGGCUCCUUGUGUGCCCUGCAGUUUCAGCAACCACAGCGAUGUCUGUGACCUGGAAACUGGGCAGUGUCUGGUGCUCUACAGGCUAUCAUGGCAACCCUCGUGCAGCAGGUGGCAGCUGCCAGAAGUGUGACUGUCACCCCCAAGGCUCUGUCCACAGUGACUGUGACCGCACAUCUGGGCAAUGUGUUUGCAAGCCAGGAGCCACGGGACUCCACUGUGAGGAAUGCCGGCCAAGACACAUCUUGACGGAGAGCGACUGUGUGUCCUUGAUGAUGAGUAUGUGGGCGCCUCGCUGAAUGACCUGGAUACUAUUGGCGACGCUGUUCUGUCUCUGAACCUCAUUGGCGUUUUUUCUGCUCCAUUUGGGACUUUGUCAAGUCUGGAAAACAGCUAAAUAUUUCCAGCCAACAACUUAAGUUUGGAAAAGCUGUUUCCUAUGAAAAACUGGAGAAACUAGGAGAAGGACCUUAUGCAACGGUCUAAAAAGGGAAAAGCAAGCCAGUCGCCCGCGGCCCUCAAGGAGGCAGAGGAGCAGGCGGAGUUCUUCCCCGGUGCGGCGCGCCCUCGCUGCUUUCGUCUGCACUGCGCACGCUGGACCAGUUUCGCGAAGUUGCCUGGGCCCUGAACAGCCCAGAUGCGGGACCUCAAUGAGCCACAGCCAAGCGGGAAGAUUGGCAGGAUGAAGAACUUUGUCAGAGAGUUUCAGCAGCAUCGCAGAACUCCAAGUGUUAAACAGUGAAGAGUGACACGUUGCCGUCAUACAGCCUCAGCUCCAGAGACAGAAGGCACGAGGAAACAAAUUCACACUGUCUGAACGGUACCUAACACUCUGGACAAAACAUAUCAAAAAGGACAAAGGGUAAGGGACAAGGCAGAGAAGUGUCAGGAAGGACUUUCUAAGGGGACUGGGAGCAGACAUGCAAAGGAAGGAAGAGAUGAGCGCGUCCAAGAGAAGAUGAUGCAGCACUUGCAGUGACCCGAGCCGAGGCACACUCGGUCUUAACAAAAGCUAGCAGGCUGUGGUAGCCCAAACACACACAACAAACCCACAGUGUUUGUCUCUAAACCAGCCUCUUCCUGUGGACUCUUUUGUCCUAUUGUGAUCCCCCUGAACCUCUCUUCCACCACCGCUGUGUCUGGACGGGGGUGCAAUUGUAGCUGAGGUAGAUGGGAGCUGCACAUGGCCUUUGGCAGCUGUGGAGACUAGAGACUUCCCUGCUGGAUGCACACUGCCUCCAGACCGGGAUGAGGAUGGAGGCCAUGAAACCAGUGAGGAAGCUGAGGAGUGACUGGUCAUUAAACAGGAAUGUCAUCAGGUUUCAGUCUGAACAGCGGCCUGCAGGCCCCACCCUCCUGUGCACGUCAUCUCCCUCCCAACAUAGACAUAGUUUCAAAGAAUAAAAUAAAUCUUGAAAUAACAACAAAACAACAGCCAAGGAGAUGUUACUGUCUACAUGGAAGACUGAGGUUUUGGAGCUGGGUUCAAGUGCCUCUGGCUUGCCUGGGCUAGGAUGCCUGAACAUUUUUUUAACAGUAAAUGACAAUUGAUCAUAAAAGUUUUAAAGUCGUAUGUAAAUUUCUCAUAGUUGAUAAAAACCAAAAAUCUUUCCUCGUUCAACUGGGCUGUCCUGGGAUACUUUUCCCAAAUCCAAAUUCUUCGUUAAGGAAAAUAUGCUCUCUGUCUGUUUGAGGGUCUUGAAGAUGCGAAGUGUGAGGUGCACUCUGUCCUCUCAAGGCAGAGCUAACACUUUAUGUGGGUCAUGUUAGCCUUUGAGGAGCAAAGAAACCAGGCAGUGAGGGAUGAUGCUCACACCAAUGCCCUUGGAUCUGUGGACUGAAAGGCAUGGGUGGGGGUAUCCCAGGCUCACAGGAGAAAGAAGGAGGAGGGAAUGAGCACUAUUGAAGAUUACUUUGGUUUCUGUGUUUUUCAACGCUGGACCAAAAGCCUGAAGGAGAAUCUACUCUGGAGACUCCAUUUGUCCCAACUCAGUCUGGUUCCUUGUGCCCGCCUGCAGCAAACAGAGUGCACGUCCACAUCCUACAUCGACAGAUGGUUUACCAGCAUCUCAAGAAGAGGCUGAGGGAGACCCAUGCAGGAUCUCUAUCUAAGGAACUUGACAGCGCUCCUACAAUCUGUGUCCAUGGAGCACAAGAGAGAAUUCCUACUCCCCGACCCCAGGGUGCAAGCCACAGCAGCCGUACCUGUCUCAGCAUGGACUUGAAAACGUGGUAUCGGAGUCGCUUGGUGAGGAUCUCUCCAGCUUUGCCAAACGUGAAGCCCUAAGAAGAAUGAGAAAGCGUCACACAGAAGGCUGGCCAGGAACUCAGACACCAAACACACAGGGGAUGGAUGCUAAACUAAUCUCGGGCUCCCAUUCUCAUGUCUCCAUCUCUGUUCUAAACUCUAUAGCACAUUGAACUACUGUGAUCAGGUCGAGGGCUGUAGUAGGGAAAAGGGUAGAGAGGAGGAAGGGGCAAGAAGAGGAGGCAGAGCCACAGAACUGGUACAGUCCAGGUGAUGAAAGAGGUACUAU